GACGAACGCUGGCGGCGUGCUUAACACAUGCAAGUCGAACGGAAAGGCCCUGCUUUUGUGGGGUGCUCGAGUGGCGAACGGGUGAGUAACACGUGAGUAACCUGCCCUUGUCUUUGGGAUAACUUCAGGAAACUGGGGCUAAUACCGGAUAGGAGCUCCUGCUGCAUGGUGGGGGUUGGAAAGUUUCGGCGGUUGGGGAUGGACUCGCGGCUUAUCAGCUGGUUGGUGGGGUAGUGGCUUACCAAGGCUUUGACGGGUAGCCGGCCUGGGAGGGUGACCGGCCACAUUGGUACUGAGGUACGGCGCAGACUCCUACGUGAGGCAGCGGUGGGAAAUAUUGCACAAUGGGCGGAAGCCUGUUGCAGCAGCGCCGCGUGCGGAAUGACGGCCUUCUGGUUGUAAACCGCUUUCGCCUGUGACGAAGCGUUAGUGACGGUAAUGGGUAAAGAAGCACCGGCUAACUACGUG
rnacentral:rRNA from 1 species